GGGUCAGUAGCUGGGUCGUGCCACCGGUACGUACUGGUCUCACUGAUUCCUCCUUCCUGAAGAACCGUAAUGCCAUUAAUUUGGUGUUGCGGGGAAACAGGACUGUUACUUUGAAAAAAUUAGAGUGCUUAAAGCAAGCUAACGCUUGAAUACAUUAUCAUGGAAUAAUGAAAUAGGACGAUCGAUCCUAUUUUGUUGGUUUCUAGGAUUGACGUA
rnacentral:rRNA from 1 species